GCAAUCUGGAGACACCCGCAUCCGCGGGGGCCGAAGGGGCAAGACGCAUCGCGACACUCUCAGGCAAAAGGACAGACUG
rnacentral:ncRNA from 1 species